UGCUUUUAAUCAGCUUCAGUUUCCAUUCAAUUACUACUGAGUUAAUUUUCUAAUGACUUUCUGACUUUUCAAUAUCUUUCUGCUUCAAUCAACAUUGAAAAAAGAGUAAAAAAAUCAGGACUUUUGUUUUUAUCCUGAAGCCAGAUCAAUGUUAUGCGAAAUGGUGAAUCUUUUUGAUAAAAAAUCUUAUUUUUCUGAAUUGCUUGACCAAUGAUCAAAGAAAUACGGACAAAUGGUUCAUGGAUUGUGAUAACUUUGAUAUAAUCUCUUUAAUAUUUAUCCCGUUCAUUAUUACAAGGUUAAGCUGCUCUUGAGAUUUGUCCGCUUCAUCUGAAUCCCCUUCAUGGCUGUACCAAACACUGUAACUCAAGUAAACAAAGAUUCCUGGAAGAAACGAAAGAAAGGAUUUAAUUUAAUCGAUAAGAAAAUGGUCCAUAUUAACGAUUCCUUGUUCCAGAUUAAAUAUGCUUUACACCUUCAAUUGGUCAACAAUGUGAAACAAAAAUCAAAGUCAACUGGUUCACCAUGAUAAUGAGCACAGUCAAACCCAUAGAAGCAAGUUCAACAGCUAUAAAUGGAUAUUGGAAAGAAUCGAAAACUGGCUCGAAAUCAUUUUCAUUGAUAUUCAGCCAACAAUACAAGAGAGUUUCAACUCAUGCAAUAUAAUCAUUAUACUCAUCACAUAAUGAUAAUGGUAAUAAUAUCGUGAUAAAAUGUUAUUAACCAUUAACCAAUAUUGGGACCACAAUCGAUAAACCAAUUAUUAUGCCAACAUUUAUGUAAAUUAAUUUUACAUCAUGAAAAGGUUAACAUGAGAGUAAAGUGAAAACCUUUUCAAUUUAUUUUCUACACCAAUUAGAGAAUCUACAAAAUUUAAAAUUUCAUCAAAAGCAAGUGUCAUGCAAUCAUUCAUUAAACUCGAGUGACUCUGCAAAGAUUUAAAUAGCUUUCAAAUGGCACAUCAAUGAACCUUUUUGCCAUUAAGACCGCAUUACUAAAAGUCUUGAAUUGAAAAUUGAAUAAAAUUUCAAGAUGAAUGUCAAAAUUUGGAAGAAAACUUCUCAAGAAAAAACCUUUUGCAUCGAAACAAAUUUUUUCAGGCAACAUUAGAAGAUUGUGUUUUAUGGAAAUAAUAAGUUGGAUCGAAACAAUUUCUCGAUUAAAGUUGAAGACAAAACUUGGAUGAAGUUGCAAAUGUUAAAAGUAAUCGACGUGAUGAGUGAAUCAUGUAAAAGGUACGAACCUGGAUGGUCAGUUGAAAAGUCAAAAUUGAAGAUGAAAAAAUUUCUCUCAAGUUUAACAUAAAUAAUGAUUCUUUUGCGUGUCAACAUUACUUUUAUGGUGAAAUGAUAACUCUAGACAAGUUUCAUUGAUCGAUCGUUCAAAUGAUAUCUGAAAAGCAUCAAUUUGGAUUAUCAUGAAAACGAAGAAAAAGAAAAAAAAGUGAAAUGAUAAUUUACGAAAUGAAAUCUGAAGAAAAGUUCGACACAUUAUCAUUAUCAUGGCCAUACCUUUCAUUGACUCAUCAGUGAUUCUUCUGUGAUCAGAAUAAGAAUUUUUGUAAAAUUCAUUUUAAAUCAGAAAUCGAAAGAAAAAAAACGCAUAAAAAAAUCUUUCUCUCCACCAAAAACAUUCUUGCAAUAAAAAAUUGAGAAAAAAAGUUUUAAAAUAUUCUUUUCGAAAAACUUUUAAUUCAUUUUGCUGAAAUCGAUAAAAUUGAUUAUCGAUAAUUCUGUUCUCUUUACCAUUUAAUAGCAAUCAUCACCUUUACGAGUUAAUCAAAAGUCGAGUUCAUUGAAGACUCGCUUGAGAUUUUACUCUUAAACUUGAUUCAAUAAUUUAUUCAAUAACAAAACUCUGAUAAUGAUAACUCUCAAUGGAAUCAUUGGUUUAUCAUGAAUAAAAUAGUUCUCUGUUUGCAUUUUUAUUUUCUUUCCCAGAAUAACCUUUUCUUUGAAACGUUUAAUUGCAUUAUUCCAAUGUUUAUCGAUUAUUAAAUUUGCAUUUUUCAAGUUUUCUCAUUGAGAAUGAUUGAAAAUAUGUUUUCCUUUUUCAUCAAAUAUUUCACUUUGCAGACAAUUUUCAAUGUUUUGCCUUUAGGAUGUUGAGCUGUUUAGUAAUUGAAUUUUUUCUCUCAGAUAAUAAAAUUGUUAUUCAUGAAACAAUUGAAAUGAAAUCACAGUCCAACUCGAAUUAAAUUGUGUAGUGAAUAUGAUUAGUUGGUAAAACAAAAACACUGACUGAGUUUAUUCCAGUCACGCUUGUAAGCAUAAGAAUGUUUCAAACGAAAAAGAGAAAAGGUUGAAAAAAUUCAAUUUUUCGGAAUUUUUCAAAACUCGAAAGACUUUUACAAACUUUUUCUUCAUUCAAAUGCAUUGAUGAUCAUUUUAUUGGUCGACUUUGAAUUUUAAUCGAAAAGGCUUUAAAGGUUAACUUGCAUUUGCAAUUUUCAUUGCACUCGAAUUCAAUUUAAUGAUGAUUUUAAUGACUUUAAUGUGUCAAUAAAGUACUUGGAAUGUUGUCCUUUCAGGUUUGCUAAAUGGUCGUUUAUUGAUACUAAACAGUCAAAGAUGAAAAACCCUUAAAUCUACUCUUAUUUUGCAAUCCAAUAUUUGAGUGAAAUUCAAUGUUUACUGGGAUUAAAUCAAUAUUAAUUAAAGUUGCUGUUAUAUUGAAAUGUUGCCCGUCAUCAUGGUUGAUCAUCAUCUGUGCUUGGGUCAACAUUGACACUGGUAAACAUUGGUCAAGAUGAUGGAAGAGAUGAACAAGAUUAGUCUUUUUUUCUCUCUCCUAAUCAUCAUGACGAUGAUAGUUAAGUCUUUUUCCUGUAAACAUUUCUUUUCCAUCAGAAAAUAAAAAGAUGAAGGAAACUUGAGCUUAUUCUUUUCCUUUUCCCUGAAUCUCUUUUUUUUACAAUCCAUUGAUUGGAAAUGAAAUUCACUUCACUUUUCACAACUGUCCACACCUUGUCUAACCAUAAGCCAACAUUAAUAUCAUUAAUACAUUAGCGGGUUGAUUAGCAUGGUUUAAUGGUAUUCAAUGAAAGUUCAAUAUUUAAUGGAAAAAAGUUUCGAGUUGAACUUUGAAAGAAUUGAACAAAUAACAAAUGUUGUGAACUUGAAACGCUUU